GCGCGAAACCUUUACACUGCACGAAAGUGUGAUAAGGGAAUCCUAAGUGCUUUGCUUUUGCAAGGCUUUUGCCAAGAGUAAAUAUCUCGGCGAAUAAGUGGUGGGUAAGACUGGUGCCAGCCGCCGCGGUAACACCAGCGCCACAAGUGGUAACCACAAUUAUUGGGCCUAAAGCGUCCGUAGCCGGUUUUGUAAAUCUUUUGUGAAAUUGUUAAGCUCAACUUAACAGAUUGCAGAAGAGACUACAAGACUAGGGACCGGAAGGAGUCAGAAGUAUUUCUGGGGGAGCGGUAAAAUGUUAUAAUCCUAGAAAGACUACCUGUGGCGAAGGCGUCUGACUAGUACGGAUCCGACGGUGAGGGACGAAAGCUAGGGGAGCAAUCCGGAUUAGAUACCCGAGUAGUCCUAGCUGUAAACUCUGCGAGCAAGGUGUCACACAUUCUUCGAGAAUGUGUUGUGUCGAAACGAAGGUGAUAAGCUCGCCGCCUGGGGAGUAUGGUCGCAAGACUGAAACUUAAAGGAAUUGG
rnacentral:rRNA from 1 species